rnacentral:rRNA from 1 species
AUUGAACGCUGGCGGCAUGCCUAACACAUGCAAGUCGAGCGGAUGAAGGGAGCUUUCUCCUGGAUGCAGCGGCGGACGGGUGAGUGAUGCCUAGGAAUAUACCUGGUAGUUGGGGAUAACGUCCGUAAACGGGCGCUAAUACCGCAUACGACAUGAUGGUGAAAGUGGGGGAUCUUCGGAGCUCGCCCUAUCAGCUGAGCCUAGGUCGGGUUAGCUAGUUGGUGGGGUAAAGGCCUACCAAGGCGACGAUCCGUAACUGGUCUGAGAGGAUGAUCAGUCACACUGGAACUGAGACACGGUCCAGACUCCUACGGGAGGCAGCAGUGGGGAAUAUUGGACAAUGGGCGAAAGCCUGAUCCAGCCAUGCCGCGUGUGUGAAGAAGGUCUUCGGAUUGUAAAGCACUGUUAGUUGGGAGGAAGGGAAGUAAGUUAAUACAUGGCUGUCUUGACGGUACCAACAGAAUAAGCACCGGCUAACUUCGUG